CAAUAAGCACUUAUUUAAACACUUACUGUGUGCCUGGCACUAUUCUGGACACAAAAGGUAUAGUGAUGAAACUGUUCUUGUCCUCGAAGGGUUUAAAAAUCAAGAACUAUAAUACAGUGAUAAAUUUAUUUUAUGAAGAUAUAUGCAAAGUACAGUCAAUAUAGAAGCCCCUAUUUUCUCUGAGAUAUUCAGAGAAGACUUUACACUGACAGGACUUUAAGGAUGAAAAGUUUUCUUGUUACAUAAGGGAGGAAAGUACACUUGAAAGACACAAUGUGCAAAGGAAUGGAAGCAUAAGAGAGGAUGAUGUGUUCUGUACAAAUAGUUUAAUAUAGUUAGAAGGCAAAAUUAGAGUGACGAGAGAUGAAAGACAGAAGAUGAGAGUGAACAUGUUGUUAGAGUUCAGAUAAAGAAAGUCCACGUGUAAAUUAGAGGAAUUCAGUUUCACCCUUUGGACAAUUAGAGCCAGUAAAGAAUUUUGAGCCAGCACGUAUAAUAGAAAGGUCUCUCCACAAAACCCGGGGAAGAUAGAUUAAAGGUGCGUAGGAGGAUCUAGAGACAAAGAGAACAUUCAGGGUUACUGAAUGUACAGAAAAGGAUGAUGGUUCUUGAACAAGUGAGUAAGGAUUUGGGAGAUAUUUAGGAAGCAGAUUCACAAUACUGAGCUUUCAUUAGAGAGAGGGUAGAGGCAAUGGAAGAAUGUAAUAUGACUCACAGCAAUCUAGUCUGGUUGUGCCAGUCAUGGACAACAGCAGUAUAGGUGCAGUGGCUUUGGGGGAAAGAAUGAAUUAUAGUUUAGAGAUGCUUGGAAGUCACUAAUGUGUAAACGUAUAAAAGACAAGUGUAUAUAUAGGUCUGGAACUAAAAAUAAGUCUUGGCUGGAGAUAAAUAAUUGAGGAUUAUUUGCAUUUUCAUGGAGAGCAGACCAUGAAACAUUUACCAGUCCACACUGCAUGUGAUCCAAUCUUGGCCAUGGACCCUGGGCACAGUCUGCAUGGUUUCUCCUGGAGGGGGGCGGGUGUCCCCUUUGAUAAGAGAUACAAGAAGAGAUCCCACUACCAGUCUUUCUGCCUUUGGACUACAUUGAAUGAGGAAGUGAUGCCUUGGGAUGAAAGCUAACAUGGCAUCCAGAGCUGCUUCUCUGACCCUCUGGUUCUUGGCCCAGCUGAUAAGGAUCCAGUCCAUGAAUAAGUAAAUGGCUUCCUUCCAGUGGAGAGCUGACAGCUGGGAUUGAAACAAGAUCCAGAAUUCACCCUGCUGUUUCUCCAUGAGUCUGACCUGCAUCAACUGCCUCCCUUAUUCUGGGAUUCCAGUUGUGGAGCUCAAGGACAAGUCCAUUCUGGGCUGGCUGUAUCCAACUUCUUUAGUCCAACUAUAUCCCCACUGGAAGCCAGGCUCUUUCCAACAGCUGUCACCCAUGCCUCUUUCUAUGUUUGUUAUCUGUCUCUAGGUUCUGGUAACUACUUCCUUCCCUUGCCCCUUCUGGCCUAGGGUGCUACAAAUCCCUCCUCCAAAUCCAACUGUCACUAGCCUCAAAGUACUUGUAGCUUCCUCACCUUACUUUCACCUUAAUAAAUAGUCCCCCUACUAUCUCUCUUCAAAGCACCCAAUUUGAGUGUGCCAUCUGUUUCUUGCCAGGAUCCUGGUUGGUACAUCAACCAAGCUGCACAGAUGGAGGAGCACUGUGCUGAACUUUAGGAAUGAAGCCACAGGGCCCUCACUGCCCCCAUAGUCACGUUGGUCAUCUUCUGCCUCCCUGAAAGACUAAAUUCACUCAGUUCAGAUACAUACACAUCCAGACAUGUCAGGGAAAACUCCAUUUUGUAAGGAUCUCUGCUUAAAAUGCCAAAGGUUUGAAAGUUGGCAAACACUUGAGAAAAGCACAGUUCUCUGUCUUACUCUUACUCUAAACUUGGAGAUAUAUGCAUUUUUAAAAUUGUUCAUGUUAGAAUGCUAACGUGUACAAGAUCGUGUCUGGUGAGACACCACAAACAAUAUUUUAUGAGGCCAAAAUAAGAAAGAAGGAAAUGAAAUAGCUCAGGAAUCUCAGGAAGAGCUCAUCAAACACUUUGCCUUUAUCUCAGACCAUUUUAUCCACAGCCCUGCUAAUCAGGAUUGUAUAUACCUCCAUGAGGGAGUCUUAAACGGAGGGAAAGAGAUGCCACAACUAAAGAAAAGAAUGCAAUAGAAGUUUGUCUUGAUGCCUGUUCUGUGAUGCACAACUUUCGUAAGCCAAAAUUUUAACCUUAUGAACAAUCAGUUCUGUGCUGCCCUUAGCAGAGAACCAUAAAUUAAAGAUAAGCAAUGGUUCAGACUUUCCAGGGCCUUGACUCAGGAGUAACUCUGAAAUCCCAACCAAAUAUGUAUUUGGUUAAGCAAUUUGGCACAUUUUUCUAUUUUGAGGCAUUAAACUAUAAUUACAAGUCACUUUUAUUUCAUUCCAAAUAAAUCUCCCUAAAGUAGAUAGAACUAGAGGUUUCCUUUUUUAAAAAAAAGGAAACAGGAAAACAACAAACAAAACCAAAAAGAACAAAAGCAAAACAAAACUUAGUCAAGCUAACAAAUUGCAUGUAUGAUGUGUUUUAUAAUUUGAUCAAUAUAAAAAAUAGAGUGUGCUAGUGCCUCAGGAGGACUCAGAGGACUCAAAUACUCAAUAGGUUAUCUGGAGGAAUUUCUCAUUGGAGAAAAAAAUUAAAGUUCUUUUGAACAACCCACAUAAUCAAGAUAGUAAUAAUUUAACCUCAAGUUUUUCCUUGAUUAAAAAAUCCCUUUGCUAUUCUGCUCCAGUGUUUGUAAUAGAUGGUUCAACAAGACUGGUGUUUUGUUAGUUGGAAAAGUAAGCUGAUAUGAGGGGUGGGGAGAGGAAGGGCAGAAAUUUAUUAACAAUCAGCAAGUAAAGAAAAACAGCCUGCAAAUUGUAAUGAAAGGAAGAAAGGACAGGAAAGGAAAGGUAGGGCUGGUGGAGAGUGACUGUUCUGCCUGCUUACUGCACAGGCCAAGAACAAACUCACGAUAAAUACUCCAGGUCCUCAAGAAAAAGGUUUCUGUGCUGAAUUAUGGUAGUCUACCUGAAAUUGGGAUGAUGAAUUAGAAAACCUCUCUCAUCGCUUCAAGUCUUGUGAUUUAUUCAUUCAGUGCCAUUUAUUGUAUAACUAUAUAAUUUCUAAAGGGGGAUAACUACAAGAAAAAAAUGUGAUUUCUUCUUUCAGAGAUCCCCAAAUAUAGAAAGCUAUUCAUAUACUGCUUAGAUAAACAAAGAUUAUCUUCUUUUUCUACAUUCUAUAUAAUGUUCCUUAAACUCAGGCUCUCUUCUCCCCAUCUCUACCUUACCCCUCUGGGUAGCAAGGAAAAAUAAAAAUAAUGUCAUUCAAUGGUUUCUUUGCCUCCUCUGAUUUAAACAGUCUAUUUUGAUUUCAGAUUUCUCUGAGGUAAAUAUUCCGGGAAUUCUAAAUUUAAGUCCUUAUUAUAGUGACUUCUUCCUUUCAAUUCUUACUUCUUUCCAACGUGGUGUCUGUCCUAGUGAUCCUCUUGAUGCUGGGAGAAGGAGGAGUCACCUGUUCUCCUGUGGUCUUUCACUGGUUUCCACAGUGGGUGGCUGGUCCAAUCCUUGGGUGCAACUUGGUCAGCUCCAGUGUGCUUUGUGGGGUCAUGUUUCUGAGCUGAAGUCAGCAGCAAGGGAACUCAUGGUCUACUUCUUUGACACACAUUCUUUUCAGUCUAUAUUUGUGGUUCAUGGAACUCCUAGAGGCAAACAUGGUGCCUGACCACAAUGGCAUUUGAUUUUUUGUUUACUCUGGUAUCAAUCAUAAUUUUCUUGUAGCAUUUGAAAGGAGAAAUCAUAUAUUUCUAAAAACCCUAUACAUCAAAUAAUAUGUUUUCAGUAAAUGUUGGUUUUUUACUGUGCCACCUAUUUUUUAUCAUAAUUAACUAUUGAACGAUGAACUAUCUUACAUAUACUUUUUAAACAGAAAAUAUCAAUAAGAUGUUUUUUCACUUCAAACUUGCUAAGUCAUGACACAUAGGUUUCCUAUUACACAUGUGAAAUGAACACUGCUUUAGUAACAGUAUCAAUACAAGCAGAGAGGUAAAACAAAUCCUCUACUAAUUCAUGAAAUUGAACAGUUAUUUAAGCUAUUGGUUUGUUACAACAUGAGUUACUUGAUUGAUUUUAGCAUUAUGCUUCAUGUAUGUGUUUAUGUUUUAAUUUUGUAUUUAUUUAGUAUCAACGUAGAACAGUACAAAGAAAUUAUACUCACAAAAACAGUGCAAAGAAAUUAUUAUCAGAAAACCCAA